UCAUUCUCCAACUCUGAAUUCAUUUUCCAGUUACUCUUUCUCUCUCUAAACUCAGUUCCAUUUUCAUCUUCUUGCUCUGACUUCUCUCUACUUUUCUACCACUUUCCACCGUUGAAAUUUCAAAUAGGUGGUGUGCUCUCAUUCACAGAGUUGAGAGCUUCCCUUUCAUCCGAUUGAAAUUCUGAUUUGGACGGGUGGUUGUAGGGCACUGUUUGAGUUUCGCUGUGAAGGCACGGUUAGGGCACUCUAGUUGGUUGUACUGCUCAACUUCAAGAUGGCGAGGAGGUUCCUUUGGAGACAGCUCUGAAGUUGAAGACAAUGCUGCUGUCUAAUGUCCUAGGAUGCUAUUAGUUGAUCUUAUACUCUAGAAUACUAUUUCCCAUUUUAGCUUAUAUUUUAUAUCUUUUUGGAGUUUAAACAUAUAUUCUGAAGUUAUUUUAAGGAUGACUGUAAUUCUAUUUACUCUCAACUGCUUUUAUAUAAUAUGCAUGUGAACGUCUUU